rnacentral:rRNA from 1 species
AAUGAACGCUGGCGGUAGGCCUAACACAUGCAAGUCGAACGGCAGCACAGUAAGAGCUUGCUCUUACGGGUGGCGAGUGGCGGACGGGUGAGGAAUACAUCGGAAUCUACUUUUUCGUGGGGGAUAACGUAGGGAAACUUACGCUAAUACCGCAUACGACCUACGGGUGAAAGCAGGGGAUCUUCGGACCUUGCGCGAUUGAAUGAGCCGAUGUCGGAUUCGCUAGGUGGCGGGGUAAAGGCCCACCAAGGCGACUAUCCGUAACUGGUAUGAGAGGAUGAUUAGCUAGCCUGGAUCUGAGACACGUCCCACACUCCUAGGCGAGGCCGCAGUGGGGAAUAUUGGACGAUGGGGGCAAGCCGGAUCCUGCCAUACCGCGUGGGUGAAGAAGCACUUCGGGUUGGAAAGUCCUUUUGUUGUGAAAGAAGAGCAGCACGUUAAUACCCCGCUGUUAUGACGGUACCCAAAGAAUAAGCACCGGCUAACUUCGUG